AUGUACCAGACGCCGACAUACCCAGGCGGAGCGGAGGGUGCCGUUCCGUCUAGUUUGAUGGAUACGCCUCUUACGGAGGAAAGAAGGGCGGCUAGGCGAGUUCGCCGGAGGGUUUGCUCCUCUGGCUCGCCAACUUCUUUGAACCAUGGCGAGUCAGACGAUGCACAAGAAAUGAGCACAAAUUCUACCGAGAUAUCAAGCAGUGAUUGCUAUACUCAGUUGUCAAGUGAAAGUUCAGACGAAGGAUGCGAAAAUAGAAGCUCAGGCCAUCGCAGAAAACGGCGCAAGACAUCUGUGAUAUCCUCUGCAUCCGAGCAAUCAGGGCAAGACAGUCCUUCUGCAUGCGAGUCUCUUGAGUCGGAUGAUGUUCAGAUAACUCCAGGGAAAGAUUAUGUGUUACCGCAAAGGUGUGAUCUAUCUGACGCAGAAAAGAAUAGAGUAGUUGUGCUUAUCAAAGAAAUCAAAGCUAAAGUUACUGUUUUUGUGGCUAUCAUGUUGAGGUCUUACUCUUCAUAUGUGACCAUUCCUAAGGAAUAUGCUGCUGUGCACUUUCCACCUGAAAGUGCAACCAUCACGCUUCGGAGUCCAGGCAAGAACAAGAAGUGGCAUCCCAGAUUCUACAAGAAAGGAACUAUGAUCAAGCUUACGGGCAGUUGGUUACACUUUGUGCGUGACAAUGACGUGCAUGAGGGAGAUAUCUGCAUUUUUGUACCGGCAAAAGGUGGAAAACCAUUCAUGUUUACAGUCCAUCUACUUCGCAAAGAAACAACUGAUUCUCAAACUGAAGUUUCUCAUGAAUCUUCGGAGUGUGAGGACUCUCAUGGUCAGCCGCCCUACAUUUUACCAUAUGGAGCCCGUCUAUCUCCCUCUCAGAGGAGUGCCGUUAAAAAGAAAGUGGACUCCAUCCAAUCUGAAGUUCCAAUUUACGUGUCAAUCAUGACAAAGAGCAACCUUGGUUCCAGACACAUGGAAUUGAGUAAACGAUAUGCCGCUGAACAUCUCCCCCACAGAAAUGUAACUUUGAUGUUCCAGUACAUGGGAAAGAUAUGGAAUAUCAAUAUGUUGUUUCAUGAUCGGAAGUACCCCAAAAGGUGGUACCUUAUCGGAGGUUGGUCCAAAUUUAUCUCUGACAACAGUCUGCGAUUAGGAGAUAUCUGUCUCUUUGAACUGAAAAAGGACGAGAAGGAGCUUACCGUGAUAGUCCAUCUACUUCGCAAAGAGAGUAUUGAUCACCCCUCCGGUGUAAGUCCUGUUCUGGACUCGAAUUAUGUGAGGGCAAGCACAAUGAUUGCCUCAACAGUGCGUGUUGGGGAGGAGCCAGAUGACGAAGAAGAAACUGCCUCUUCAGGGCGUGAAGAACAAGGAUUCGAUGACGAGCCUAUCGAGCAUAACUAUUCUGAGGGAGCCUCUAAGGCACACAUGCCUACUGCUCCAUGCUCAGAGAGUAACGUGUCUGGAAUCAGCCUGUCACCGGAAGCUAGAGAGCAAGCUGCUGGUUGUUCAAACAAAAGUUUUGCAACAGAAUUUCCAAAUAAGCCUAGCUCCACUAUGGAACACAACAGGAUUAUCCACACUGACAGAGCGGCAGCAUCAGAAGUUAUUGGUUUGUCAGACUACAGGAUCCACAACAGUUGUGAUAGUAUUGAUUCACAAGGAGGAGAGUCUCUUGCUGUUCAACAGCAAUCGAGUCCUAGUCCUGGAAUUGGCAAUUCAGUUAAUCUGGAUUCUUCAAGUUGUGACCAUAGAAGCGCUGAACAUGUGGAGGGAGAGAGUGAUGUUGCUUUACAGUCAUCAGUAAGAGUUACAGGCCAGCAGGUAGGCGAUGCUGAAAAGGAAGUUAAUGCCAGCGGUGGAGAAAAUACUCUUGCAGAUCUACCUCAUUUAGAGCCUCAAAAUGUGGCAGCUGUGCCCACCCAGGCUGCAUUGCCCAUGCCUAAGGAAAAAACUGAUACUCAGACAAAUCGAUCUGCCCAAUCAGAUGUAGCGCAAGCACAACCUCCACAAGGAGAGGUAGAGCAAGCAGGUCUGUCUGGUGUGGCAACGCCUCAGCCUUUACAACCUGAAAUGCAAGCAUCAUUGUCUAGGGAAGUUGAAGCUCCGGCGAAUGUUGUAAUUCAGUCUGCUCAGCCUUUGGUGCUUGAAAUGCAGCCAUCAACCCCAUUGUCAAAUAUUCCGCUCGAAAGAACACACCCAAAUCGGGGUCAAUCAAGUCGUCAACCAGAGGCCGCAGCUGGUUCUGCCCAGCCUGCACAACUCUUUCCGGCGCCGUCGAUGAUGUUUAAUCACCCACCAAUUGGUGAUGAACCACUGAAAAAUGAGCUGCACAGGUUACGGUUACACAUUGACUCACUUGAUAAAAUCUAUGAAUUAAAGCAAUCACAACUUCAGACAGAGUGCAGCCAAGAAAUUGAGAAGAUAAAACAAAAGUAUGAUUUGUUACUUGAGGAACGGGAUUCUGUUCACCUUGAGCAAAUGAAGACACUUGAUGGUUUAUUGGAGAAAGUUGUCUUCCACCAAUCACUAGCUGCCGAUUUCCGAGCCAAAUUCAUAUCAUCAUCUGCAGCACAAGCAAAAGCCUAUAGCCGUCCAAUCCAUCAGACACCUCAGGCUUCUCAGCAAGCACCCAUGAGGCCGCCAGGUGUGACAUCGACUUCGCCGCCAGCUGCGUGGUCAUCAGCUGGUCGACCAGUAGUGCCGGGAGGUGCACAGCCAUCACAGGUGGAUCGACCAUCAACACCAGCAUCAUCACAGGCGCCUCGUCCGCCAUUGCCAUUUCCACAAGUGGUCCGGCCUCCCAUAAACCCUGGCAACCUUGUCAGAACAACAGGAGCUCCUACAAGUCACAUGCCUCGAGGUCCACCACGUGGAGGCCAUGGAGUUCCGAGCGCACCCGCUCCUCAUCUUCAGCGCAGAUUGCCGCCAUGGGCGCAUUCCACGUCCCCUGCAAAUCAGAGGCAGCAGCAGCAGCAUGCCACAUCUGUAAGCUCGCAGUCUUCACAUGCAGUCCCCCCUGUGAGCUCAUCACCCUUGCCGCCGUCAAGGUCACAAGCAACUCACCAUGGUUCGUCCACUCGGAUGGAUGUGGAUGUGGUAUGCCUGUCUGAUGAUGAGUGA
rnacentral:rRNA from 1 species